CAGUGGUGUUGGCCAACCUGGAGAGUUCAUGGGGCACAGAGGAAAAUCUGCAUAGACGUCGCAGUGGCUCAGUGAUUAUGGUGUUCUGCAUCAGAACAAGAGGUCGCGGGUUUGACUCCCGACCGCGUUCCCAUAGGGCGAAACGCAGAAAUGUGGAUGCCAAGCACAGUGGUGAAACAGCUGUGCCCAAUUGGGCCAAAUUGCACCAAGAACGGUCCUUUGGGCCAUCCUGCUCCAAAACGACACUUUCUCGGAAGAUUGCUAAA